rnacentral:rRNA from 1 species
CCCUUAGAUGUUCUGGGCUGCACGCGCGCUACACUGAAGCUAUCAACACGUUUUCCCUCCCUGAGAAGGGCGGGUAACCUUUUGAAUCAGCUUCGUGGUAGGGAUCGGGGCUCGCAAUUGUUCCCCGUGAACCAGGAAUUCCUAGUAGACGCGAGUCAUAAGCUCGCAUCGAUUAAGUCCCUGCCCUUUGUACACACCGCCCGUCGCUACUACCGAUUGAACGUUUUAGUGAGGCAUUUGGACCGACGCAUCUCAGUUUAACCGCUGGUUUGUGUUGGAAAGACUUCCAAACUUGAGCGUUUAGAGGAAGUAAAAGUCGUAACA